AGCCUGUUCUAUGCAUUUAGAAUGACAGAGAAGUAGAUGAUUAUGUGUUCACGAACAAAAGAGGCUUUUCUUAUAUUACAGGAGAGAAGCCCUAAAUUAUCUGUGAGUUUAUAUAGUAAUGGACAUAGCUGCAUGCCACCAUCUUCAGAGAGAAAGAAGAAACAGUUUCUCUCGAAUAAAAACAAAUCUGUGAUUAAAAAGAGGAAAGAUCCUAGUUUAAAAGCAGAACGAAGAGAAUGACGUAGAAGUUCAUCCUUCUUUUCCACUGCUCAGAAGGCCAGAUCCUGCAGAAUACCGAGAAACACAUGCAGACCUUCAUUUCUGCGGUAUCUUGUACAACUUUUCAAAACAUAAAAUAUGAAGUGAGUGUCUGUUGCUGGAUAAUUAGAACCUUGGUCUGCCUCUGUACAUCAGGUGACAUCUGUGGAAGAAGCUAUCGGUUGGGCUCCUUCAUCUCAGAAGAAUGGCUCUACCAACUCUUUGCCAGUGUUUCUCAGGGCUAUGGACAACAGCAAGCCUCGAGAGGAAAUAGCAUUGACAAAUCUCCAAGACUUUCAGGUUUACACCAUAAGUCAAUAAAAUCAUCUACUACAUAUCAUAAGAAGACUCUUGCUGUCUCUCUGAACAAGAUAUUUCUACAGGAAGCACAAAAAACACAUUUUUUAAUGAAUCAGUCUCCAAAAUUUCUCAAAAGAAGAGGCGAUGGGCUCAGGAUAUGACAAAGCAAUGUGGCAUUGGUGACUUCACGUCUGGGAUGGAAGCUUGCAGUUGGGCCAUCUGUGAGGAAUCUUACUAAAGCUGUGUAGAAAUACCAUCAUGACUAGACAAAGAUCAGAGACUACAGGAGUCAUCUGGGCCUACCUCAGCUCCAGGAAAGUAUUUGUAGGAAUAAACUACCCUUUUUAGGUACUCUACCAAUUCAUGCUCUAAAAUACAUUAACUGCAGAUUUGAAACAAAUCUGAGCUUGAAUCACCCUCUAGUGCUGAAAUAAUGACAACACGUUAUCAACAGAGGACUUGCCACAAAUCUGCAUUCCAGGUACCACCUAGUAUUGAAAUAGUGGAAGUGAUUAUAGGCUCAGAAAAAAAAAAAAAAAAAAAAACUUCCUUAGGGUUUCUGGAAGCACAGGCAACAAUAGAACAUUAGAAGAACAGAAUAAAUACGUAAUUCCUUAUGGUACAGAUCACAUCAUACACCAAGCUUCAAGACUUUCAUGAAAACUUGAAUUCAUCUAAUGGCCAAAAUAAGGAAAAAGAAACUAAUUACAGAGUAAUCAGCAUGAAUAAAUCUCAGAUGGAGAAUUUAAAAGUUGUUUGAUGGAAAAUGAUGAGAUUCAAAAGAACACAAGAAUACAAUUCAAGAGAAAAACAGAGAAAGUUGACAUAGAAUUGAAGCAGCUACAUCUAUUCAAACAGAUGUUUUUGAACUAAACAGUACACUAAGCCAAAUUUAAAGUUCAACGGAAGACAUCAGCAGCAGAAUAGGUCAAACAGAAAAAAGAAUUAGUGAGAUCAGUGCAGAGCAUUUCAAAAGACACAUUUGGAGAAGAAAGAAGAAAAUAUAACAAAAAGAAAAGAAAAAAACCUAUGGGAAUAUUUGCAUAGCAUUAAAGUAUUAAAUAUUCAGUUUGGGGAAGUUCAGUAGGGACUCAGGAAUGCCAAAGAAAUAUAAGGCUACUAAAAUUAUUAACAGAAAACUUCCCAAAUCUAGUAAAGGAUACAAGUGUUCAUGUACAGAAAGGUAAAAGGUCAUCUCUCAGAUUUAACUCAACCAGAUCUGCCUAAAGAUCUAUAUAAUCAAAGUAGAUUCCAAGGCUAGAGGAGAAAAGAAACAAAUUAAUCAAUAAAGGUACCCCAAUUACUUCACAGCCAACUUUUCAGCAGAACCUUCACAGGUGAAGAGAGACAGACAUGUGAUUUUCAUAGUACUGAAGAGAAAAACUGCCAACAAAAAAUACCUUACUCAAUAAAUGUAUGCUUUAUUUUUCUACUACAUUACUUCAUGCAAAAUUUCAUAACAAAACAAGAAUAACAAUAUUUAAUACAUUGUAUGUUACUGUCUGCAAAGUAGUCUGAGUACAAGACAUAAACUAAAAAG
rnacentral:lncRNA from 1 species